ensembl:lincRNA Gm13056 predicted gene 13056
AGUUAGGGCCAGAGAGCCUUGAGUUGGAGAGCUGGGGAGAUGGGAGGCUCCGCGGCAUGGGAGAGGGACCCUCCAGGGACCCUUCAAGCCCACUGGAGACAGCAUGGACCAGGUCUUGCUAUGCAGCUCUGGCCAGCCCCGUGUGAUAAUUCUCCUGCUUCUGCCUCCCGAGCUGGGAUGCCAGGCCUGUACCAACACACCCAGCUUUUGUGUGAGUCCAUCACAGUGAGCAAGACCGAAAGCAGGCAGCUUCUCUUUGUUUGCGGUUGGAAUGCUUAACGGCCGCUGGAAGUGAGUGGCCAGUGGAUUGUGCAAAGCCGAUACAGAGAUACAGAGCACGCCCUUCCACCUGGCGUUCCGGCCAGAGAGCUCUCCAGACAGCACCGUCCCAGAAUGCGCUGCGCAAAACCAGGGAUGUUUGUCCGGUUUGAUCAUUGCUGUGUGGCAGUGUCCAGUGAAGCACUGCAAAUAAAA